AUUGAACGCUGGCGGCAGGCCUAACACAUGCAAGUCGAACGGUAACAGGAAGAAGCUUGCUUCUUUGCUGACGAGUGGCGGACGGGUGAGUAAUGUCUGGGAAACUGCCUGAUGGAGGGGGAUAACUACUGGAAACGGUAGCUAAUACCGCAUAACGUCGCAAGACCAAAGAGGGGGACCUUCGGGCCUCUUGCCAUCGGAUGUGCCCAGAUGGGAUUAGCUAGUAGGUGGGGUAACGGCUCACCUAGGCGACGAUCCCUAGCUGGUCUGAGAGGAUGACAAGCAACACGGGACCUGGGACACGGUCCGAACCCCUACGGGAGGCAGCAGGGGGAAAUAUUGCACAAGGGGCCAAGGCCUAAGGCAGCCAGGCCGCGUGAAUGAGAAAGGCCUUCGGGUUGUAAGUUAAUUUCACCGGGAGGAAGGGAGUAAAGUUAAUACCUUUGCUCAUUGACGUUACCCGCAGAAGAAGCACCGGCUAACUCCGUG
rnacentral:rRNA from 1 species